UCUGUAUCUUUUCAAGUUCAGAAGCCACAGACCUGUGCAAAAAAAACUCAUGUUAGUUGUCUGAUUCUUUUGUAUCCACAAUAUUUCAAAUGAGCAUACUUAAUUUUUUUUUCAUAAAUGUUAGAAUUUUUGACAUAAGAACCUAGAGGUUAAGAAUUCUCUUUAUAUUGGCUUUAUUUAGCAACAAAUCACCUUGACUCAACUGAUGCUUACUGAGUGCCUUUCAUGAGUAAGGCAAGUGAAUAAAAGUCCUCCACCUCCAGGACUUUUGAAUUAAGUAUUGAGGUUUGAAGGUAAUGGGCCUUCCUGCUACAACUCAGUACUGACGUGGCAUAUCUUCUACUUUCCUCCUCAAGGUUUACUAAAACUUUAAAAACCUACUAAAAUCUCAUCACUUCUAUGAAAGAAAUACUCUCUCCUUUGAAUUCCUACAGCAGUAUGUUAAUUAAUCAUAAACUUCUCUGUAAUGCUUUCUCUUGAACUAUUUAAUUUUCUGAUCUUCAUACCUAGAUAGUUUCUUUGGAGGAGAAGGGAUCUUACACAUAUAGUAAGACCUCAUUUAUAUGGAACUCUUAGGGUAUGGAUGGUCUCCAGGGCCAACUUUUUAUACGACUGAAUUAGGUGUCAAAACGUAAUAACUAUUUUCUAUUAAAUUUCUUCUGGAAUAGACUACCUAAUCAUUUCAUUGUUUUCUUAAGCACAGUAUACUAAACAUUCUCUUCUUGACUUGAAGGGUUAAUAUAUGAACAUUAGCCCUUACCAUGUUCCACAGAAACAGAUAUUGGGGCAACUGGUAUGGGAUAGAAGGCUAAAUGUACACAAAUCCAGCAGAACCUCUUAUGUGUGUGUUCUUUGUGUUUCCCCUCAUCACUAGAUGAAAUAUGAGCAGUGGCACACAACUAGAAAAUAGUGUAACUGGACUAGCUCUGCAAAAUUAAUGAGGACAUUCAUGCUAAAACAUCUCUUUAUUCAAGUCACUAGAAAAGUCUUUUCACAGCUCACAAUAGGGUAUACGACUUGUCUGCUUUACUGGCAGACAAUGGACCACACGCAAUGGACCACAUGCACCUCAUCAGCCUGCGCUCUUUCCUUGUACUCCAGCCUAUGAACGUAGAAUAAAAGAGAUCUUUCAUCAUUUUAAGCAUCUGUAGUAACAACCUGGAUGUGACUUACUCCAAAACACACCGACUCUUCAUCAUUGCAAAACACACUCCCCCCACCUUUUUUAAACAUGAGACACAUUUGCUGGGUACACCCAGCCAUACAAACUACCUUUAAUGCUGUCACUCAUAUGAUAAACCAACGUCUUAUGAAAUAUCUCCUGUGCUAUUUUUUGACAAGCAUCCCUAUUAAAAAGUUGAACAAGUAAGCUAAUAAUAUAAGGUGAGUUGGAAAUAAAAUACUGAAAUACAAUUUAGGUAGCUGUUUAUUAUGCGAUCUCUUCUCUCCCUUCAACCUACCCACUUUGACAAGAAAACAAGAAUCACAGUGGAGAUGUCUUAGGCUUUGGGAGGGGAAUGGAGCUGUUCAAGUGCUGUAUCUCACCUCCCCACUGCUCAAUUCCAUUGUCUCCCCUCCGCUCCGCGUUGCUUCCACCCAUAGCUGCUUUCACCAAUCUGUACUUCUCUUAACCCCCUCACUUCUCAGUUUGUCUUGACAGUUAUCCUCUUCUAAGCUUUCAUAUAAAAAGGCUAGCAUUUUACAAACUUUGCCAGCUGAGCAAUGAUGAAGUAACCAAUUUUACAGCCAUGUACAAUUUCCCUUUCUUCCCAACUAUGAUUUUUGCUAGCUAUUAAGGCAACUUUUCUGCUCCCAAACUGUAGCUGAAGAGAGGGACCUGCAAAGCUGAAUCCUUAAGAUAUCUGAAUAUUCAAAUAACAUCUACUGAUUUGAUUGUACCUCUUUCUCUAUGUAACUUAGGAAAAGGUGAUAAGAAUCAAGCUUAUUGUUUAUAUAUUUUUUUCACCAUGCACCAUGCACUAAGACACCUUACAGCUUACUUUAUUCUUUUUAUUUAUUUAUUUGGCUGUGCCAGGUCUUAGUUGCGGCAUGCAGGAUCUUUAGUUGCAGCAUGUGGGCUCUUAGUUACGGCAUGUGGGAUCUAGUUCCCUGACCAGGGAUCCAAUCUGGGCCCCCUGCAUUGAGAGUUCGGCGUCUUAACAGCCGGACCACCAGGUAAGUCCUCUUACAACUUACUUUAAUUUAAAGCUUCCUAAAUUGUUCCUGAUAUCCUUCUUUUCCAAUAUAAUCAGAUUAUACUCUUGCAGUGACACUAACCUUCCUAAGGCUCUUUCUUCCUGUCAUUUUCCCAUAUAGGAACUUGUAAUUCUAUGAAGUCUGAAUUCCUCUAUUGAUUACAAGGUCUAUUCCUAUCCAUCAAAGUCACACUACACCCAAGCAGUACCUUUCAUAUGGUCCAGGGUGUUGAAUCUGAAUUAACUCAUUUUGUCCAUCAGGAAAAGUUAACUUACACCAACCUAAAUUGAGACCUCGAUUUACCUUAAGAAGCAAGGAGGAAAGAAACGUCAGAAGUUAAAAUUCUCUUCUGGGUGAUAUCUGCAUCAGUUCCAGACAUAUUGCUGAUUUUAUUAUG